CCAGCACCCCGAGUGGUCGGGACGAUUAUUGGGCCUAAAGCAUCCGUAGCCGGUUUUACAAGUCCUCCGUUAAAUCCAACUGCUUAACAGAUGGGCCGCGGAGGAUACUAUAAGACUAGGAGGCAGGAGAGGCAAGCGGUACUCCGUGGGUAGGGGUAAAAUCCGUUGAUCCAUUGAAGAUCACCAGUGGCGAAGGCGGCUUGCCAGAAUGCGCUCGACGGUGAGGGAUGAAAGCUGGGGGAGCAAACCGGAUUAGAUACCCGGGUAGUCCCAGCUGUAAACGAUGCAGACUCGGUGAUGGACUAGCUUCAUGCUAGUCCAGUGCCGCAGGGAAGCCGUUAAGUCUGCCGCCUGGGUAGUACGGUCGCAAGACUG
rnacentral:rRNA from 1 species